rnacentral:rRNA from 1 species
AGUGAACGCUGGCGGUAGGCCUAACACAUGCAAGUCGAACGGCAGCACAGUAAGAGCUUGCUCUUACGGGUGGCGAGUGGCGGACGGGUGAGGAAUACAUCGGAAUCUACUUUUUCGUGGGGGAUAACGUAGGGAAACUUACGCUAAUACCGCAUACGACCUACGGGUGAAAGCAGGGGAUCUUCGGACCUUGCGCGAUUGAAUGAGCCGAUGUCGGUUUAGCUAGUUGGCGGGGUAAAGGCCCACCAAGGCGACGAUCCGUAGCGGGUCUGAGGGGAUGAUCAGCCACACGGGAACUGAGACACGGUCCAGACUCCUACGGGAGGCAGCAGUGGGGAAUAUUGGACAAUGGGCGCAAGCCUGAUCCAGCCAUACCGCGUGGGUGAAGAAGGCCUUCGGGUUGUAAAGCCCUUUUGUUGGGAAAGAAAAGCAGCAGGUUAAUACCCCGCUGUUCUGACGGUACCCAAAGAAUAAGCUCCGGCUAACUUCGUG